rnacentral:misc_RNA from 1 species
GCAGCUCUACAUUUUUCUAAAGAUGUAGCCCUAAUGCAUUUGACACACAUUGGAGAUAAAAUGAAAGAAUGUUGAUUAAGAUGAUUUGAUUAUGUCCAACGUAGGGCAUCAAAUGCCCCAGUAUGGAAGCAUGAUAAGUUAGUAAGAAAAGUAGGGAGAAGGGAGAGGGGGAGACUUAAGAUGACGUGGAUGUAAGUGGUAUCAAAGA